UUAAUUGAAGAGUUUGAUCAUGGCUCAGAUUGAACGCUGGCGGCAGGCCUAACACAUGCAAGUCGAGCGGUAGCACAAGAGAGCUUGCUCUCUGGGUGACGAGCGGCGGACGGGUGAGUAAUGUCUGGGAAACUGCCUGAUGGAGGGGGAUAACUACUGGAAACGGUAGCUAAUACCGCAUGACGUCUUCGGACCAAAGUGGGGGACCUU
rnacentral:rRNA from 1 species